rnacentral:misc_RNA from 1 species
GAUGAAGAACGUAGCGAAAUGCGAUAAGUAAUGUGAAUUGGAGAAUUCAGUGAAUCAUCGAAUCUUUGAACGCACAUUGCGCCCCCUGGUAUUCCGGGGGGCAUGCCUGUUCGAGCGUCAUUUCACCACUCAAGCCUCGCUUGGUAUUGGGCAUCGCGGUCCGCCGCGCGCCUCAAAUCGACCGGCUGGGUCUUCUGUCCCCUAAGCGUUGUGGAAACUAUUCGCUAAAGGGUGUUCGGGAGGCUACGCCGUAAAACAACCCCAUUUCUAAGGUUGACCUCGGAUCAGGUAGGGAUACCCGCUGAACUUAAGCAUAUCAAUAAGCGGAGGA